rnacentral:lncRNA from 1 species
CUCUUUCAUAGGGUUUUAUGUUAUGAAGGAUAAUAAAAUAAUUUUAGAUAUUUCUCUUUUAUGUUCACUAAACCUGGUGUUUUUGAUAGAUUUUUCUUUUUUUUUUUUAAUAGAAAAACAGGAAAAGUUAGAUCACCUGUAAUGGUUAUAUAUUUAUGUCUUCCUUUUAGUUACCCAUAUUCCCAAAUAAGUUGUAGAUGCAAUAUUUGAAUUCUUCCAAAAGAAUCAGUUUGAAAGAAAAUAACCAAAGAAUUCUAAGGCUCACUUUUGGCUAUAUUUUUAUGUUAAAAAAAAGUUUUUUUAAGACCUUAAUGGUAUUUGCACUGAAAUACAAUUUGGUUAACCGUUGGAUGUACUUGGCUUUCUUUUGACAUUUGGGGUCACAGUAGAAAAUUUUCAAAAUCUUUUGGCUCUUGCUGUUUUGUGUUCAGCAUCUGGAAUUUUUACAAAAUAAUGGUUAAGUGGCAUAAUAUUUUGGAAAUGACUACAGAUUAUAUGUUUUCCUUAAAAUUUGAAGAAGGAAAUUUGGGGGCAGGGGUUUGUCUUUUAAGAAGUGAUUUGUCUGGAAGACUUUGUUUCACUAUGAGAUGGCUCAAUUAAUGAUUUCCCUUGGGGUGAUA